rnacentral:rRNA from 1 species
UAGGGAAUCUUCGGCAAUGGACGGAAGUCUGACCGAGCAACGCCGCGUGAGUGAAGAAGGUUUUCGGAUCGUAAAGCUCUGUUGUUAGAGAAGAACGUUGGUAGGAGUGGAAAAUCUACCAAGUGACGGUAACUAACCAGAAAGGGACGGCUAACUACGUGCCAGCAGCCGCGGUAAUACGUAGGUCCCGAGCGUUGUCCGGAUUUAUUGGGCGUAAAGCGAGCGCAGGCGGUUCUUUAAGUCUGAAGUUAAAGGCAGUGGCUUAACCAUUGUACGCUUUGGAAACUGGAGGACUUGAGUGCAGAAGGGGAGCGUGGAAUUCCAUGUGUAGCGGUGAAAUGCGUAGAUAUAUGGAGGAACACCGGUGGCGAAAGCGGCUCUCUGGUCUGUAACUGACGAUGAGGCUCGAAAGCGUGGGGAGCAAACAGG